rnacentral:rRNA from 1 species
AUUGAACGCUGGCGGCAGGCCUAACACAUGCAAGUCGAGCGAGCGGCGGACGGGUGAGUAAUGUCUGGGAAACUGCCUGAUGGGGGGGGAUAACUACUGGAAAAGGUAGCUAAUACCGCAUACCAUCAGAUGUGCCCAGAUGGGAUUAGCUAGUAGGUGGGGUAACGGAUCACCUAGGCGACGAUCCCUAGCUUGUCUGAGAGUAUGACCAGCCACACUGGAACUGCGACACGGUCCAGCCUCCUACGGGAGGCAGCAGUGGGGAAUAUUGCACAAUGGGCGCAAGCCUGAUCCAGCCAUGCCGCGUGUGUGAAGAAGGCCUUCGGGUUGUAAAGCACUUUCAGCGGGGAGGCGUUACCCGCAGAAUAAGCACCGGCUAACUCCGUGCCAGCAGCCGCGGUAAUUC